CGGAUCGUUAACCCACUGAGCAAGGGCAGGGACUGAACCCGCAACCUCAUGGUUCCUAGUCGGAUUCGUUAACCACUGCGCCACGACGGGAACUCCGGUAGUGUGAUAUUGGUGUAAAAGUAGACAGACUAAGAAAAAAGUCCUCAAACACACCCACAUAUUUGGACACUGGCUUUUACAACUUGAUCCUGAAAAGCAGUGGUGAAAGAUAGUUCAAUCAAUGGUGUGUCUAUUGGGUAACUGCAUGGGAAAAAGAAAAGAAACUUAAUUAUUAUGUGAACACAUGCAUAAAAAUCAGUUUUCAAUUGAUGGUAGCUCUAAAUGUGAAGUUUCUAUAAGAUAAAAAAUAUCUUCAUGAUGUGAAGAUAGAGAAAAAUAUUGAAUGAUACAAAUAGCACAAAGAAAUAUUGAUAAAGUGGAUUACAUUAAAUUAAGAACUUUUGUGUAUCAAAUUCCAGGAGUGAAGAAGUAAGCCACAGAUUAGAAGAUAGUUGUAACACACACAAUUGACAAAAUACGUGAAAAACUCUGUACAAGUCAGUCAGUAAUAUAGAUAAUUCCUUGUAUUUUCUUUACAGAAGAGGCUAUCUGAAUGGCUGGUACAGCUACAAAAGGUGCUCAAUCUUGUUAGUAAUCAAGGAAAUACAAACUGAAACAGACACCUAUCUUGUAACCAGCAACUCCACUCCUAGGCACAUACCCAACAGAAGUGCAAGCAUAUGUAUACAAAGACUUUUACAAGAAAGUUCACUGCAGCGUUAUUUGAAGUAUUGCCAAACUGGAAGCAGCCCAAAGGUCCAUUCAUAAUAGAAGUGGCGGUAUCCUCACUCAGUGAAAUACUCUUCGGCAAUUAUGAUGGAAAAAACCUAUGGAAAAAUACAACACGAACAAACCUCACAAAUAUUUUGAGCACAGAAAUCCAACACAAAAGAAUAUAUGCUGUAUUAUUCCACUUAUGUAAGAUCAAAAACAAGCAAAACUUUACUAUAGCUUUAGGAGUCUGUGUAAUAAUUAAAUAGGGAGGCAGUAGUUUGGGGAAGGGACCUGAGGUUUAGGCUUGGCUUCAGGGGUGCUAAAAAUGUCCUGUUGCUUAUAAUGAUGGAUUGUAUCAAAUUGUAUGCUUAUAAUUUGUACACUCUUUUUUUGUGUGAGGUACAUUUCAAUAAGCUUUUGCAAAUUCAGCAAUGCUCUGAUCAGACCAAUCUUAGAGAAUUCUUUGUUUACACUGUCAGUUAUAAUAAUGUAAUAGUUGAUGUGACAAUUUAUAAGUGACACUGAUGAAACAAAAUGACAAAUUAUUUAUGGUGAAUAACUGCUAGUCAAAGAAUAAAGCUGAACUCAGGGAAGAAAAGCUACACACAGAAAGUAACCUGAAGAUUUUAGAGAAGGCAGUUCAACAGAGAUCAAAUACCUUAGAAAAAGGCUCCUCGCCUGACUCAAGACUUGGGGACCUGCUGGCAUUCAUGCACACUCUGUCCUGGCCUCUGAGGCUCUUGCUGGUGCAUACCCAGCCUACACCUCUUUCAGUCCCAGUGAGUCUUUUGUCUUAAUCUUGGACCAGAUGAGGGCAGAACUCUUUGAGCACUGAGUAGCUAAUGGAACUGAAAUGUCUCCAACAAGGCAAAGCUGCAAAUUGCUGUGAUUCAUCCUGAGGGCAUGCAGCCCCCAGGGAUCUUUGUUGUUAAGAGGAACACACCUGCCAGAACCCUGUGUGGCCACAGCCUCCCUCAUCAACGUGUGGGAUGCUGAGAUUCAGGCUUUAAAUUUUAAUCUGAGAGCACAGAUUAGUACCUGGGCUGUUUUCCUCUGAGAGGUUUUUGUCUUUGCUGUUGUCGUUGUCAUUAGUUGUUAGAAAGGGAAGGAGAGAGGGAGAAAUCACAUAUUCCCUCGCCUGGAUUUCAAAACCCUUAUAAUCCUUCCCAAAGCUACCUUUUCAAAUGCUGUCUCCCACCAGUCCCCUGGGUGGUGCCUAUAUUAACCCAACAAAAGUCACCACCACAAAAUACUGUGUGCAUCUUGCUUUUAACUUGUCCAUACUUUACCCACUCAUUUCCACGUGGAUGAGUCAAUUCUACCUUCAAGGCUGAACUCAAUGCAGCUUCCACCGCAAGGGUUUACUGACCAUUGCUGGCUCCUGUGGCUAUUUACUGACUAUUUUUCCAUACUCUAAAUCAGAAUGCCAUGCCACUUAUGGGUAUGAAUAGUCAUCUAUGAGAUGUUUGAAGCUGGGAACACAAGUUUCACAUCAAUAAGGUUUUCUUGCUGUCAAAGUGCUUCUUAGGUGCCAGCCGUUAUGUUAAACAUUUCAUCUACAUUAUUUCAUUGACUCCUCAGGAUCAGCCUAGUAGGUAGAUACUAUUUUAUACUUGCCUAAGGUUAUUCUAGGGACAGUACAUUGCAGAACCAGAACUCUGACUCUUCAGGACGUGCUCCCCACUCUUCCACAGAGCUGCUCGCAGAUGGGGAAAGGGCAGGGGUGGCAGGGUUGAGGUGGGCUGAGGCAUCCAGUGUGGGGAGGGGUGGAGAGACGAGGCUGGCCUGACCAUGGCGUGCUGUCUGUGCAGAUCAGUGCAUGUGGAUCUGGAGCUCUGCCCAGCAGGCAGCAGGAAGAUAGUGCAUGUGAGUAAGAAGGCUUUAGCGAGCCGUCUGGAAAUACAGAUCCAGCAGAUGCUCACUAGUUCAGAGUGGCUAUAGCACAGUGGCUGCAAGCGUGGCUUCCACAGCCAGACUGCAUGGAUUUGAAUCCUGGCUUUGUCAAGACAUGUGCCUUUAGGUAAGUUGCUUGCCUUCUCUGAAGUUACUUGUCCAGUCUGUGUCUGUUGUUUUCCACCUGCCGAAUGGAGAUGAUAAUACUUACCUUGUAGUACAGUUGUAGGGAUGAAAGGAGUUAAUACAUGGAAAGCUUUCUGAAGGGUGCCAGGCACACGGUAACUACUGUGGAGAGUGGGCUCUCUUUCUCUGUUUGGAUCUCCAUGCUCCCAUAUGUAAAUGAGAGUUGGAUCAGAUUGUCCAUGGUGUAGACACCAUCAUGUCCAUUUAAGCUCUCCUCUUAGAUUUCAUGAGCUCUAGGUAUGUCUAGACUCUGCUUCUAAUUUGCUGCAUCAUGCUGGCAACCCAUUUAAAAUGGAGAAGCAGCUCCCUGACCUUAAAUAGGUUACUUUGUGUCUCCAGGCCUCAAUGUCUCCACCCAUCCCUCUGACUUAAUUCUUCUAGGACCACAAAGAGAGCAGUGCAUACAUCUAGAAUGAAAGGCAUCUCUAGGUCCCCCAAACCUAUGGAAUGUUAGAAGUAGGAUUAUUUUUCUUUUUCAGCACCCCCAGGCCCUGGGCCUCAGAGCCAGAUCUACCUCCUCUCAGCUCAUGGACAAGUUGCCCUUGAAGACAAGGUCUGGGUGAGGCAUUUUUGAGGUUAGCUUUGUGAGGAGAAGAGGGCUUUCUUGGGGGGAGCUUUAGGCCCUCCUAAUUCUGUCACCUUCCAAUUCCCAUUCUUGGAGAAAGACAAUUGGCAUUUUCAACGUCUGAUGUAAAAGUAGUAUACACAUGCUGUUCAGGCCUCAUUCCAACCCAAUGACUGGACUUUAGCCCCUUAAAUCAAGGCUUUGGGAGCCACUGGUACAUUCAGACUGUGAAGGUUCACCCAGGUCCAGCCCGAUCCCCUGCACAGUGACUCAGGCAAUAAUUUUAUCAAAUAUUUUGCCAUAGCAAAACAAUACGCCUCAGCCUGUCUGGCUCCCAUAUCUCUUCCCACACAGCCAGUAUCACAGGCUUUAGUUUUCUAUUAUGGGGGUACCAACUUCAAAGUACCAAUUUCUAAUCUAGCUAGGGUAGUCCAAGCUAUGCUGUGAUUGCAAAUAGACCCAAGCAUGCAAUGGCUCAACAGGAAGGCAGUUUACUUCUCACUUGUCUCAAGGUCUAGCAGGUUGGCUAAUUCUUCUCAAAGCAGUGAUUCAAGAAACACAACUCCAUCUGUCCUAUGGUUAUACUGUCUUCAAGGCAUGGCUCUCAGGGUGGACUUGGGCGUUCUCUCCAUUCCAGUCUGAUGGGGAAGGGAGAAGAGAGAGUGAGAUAGGCCUGAAAGUGCCAUAUAUGACUUUCAUCCGUAACGUUCUGUUCAUCUGGGACUCAGGCACAUGACACCAGCUAAUUUAAAAGAGGUGGGGGAAUGGGGUCCAGCUAUGAGCCCAGGAAGGAAGAGGAGGUGGGUUUAGUAAGUAUCCUGUCAGUCUCUGCUACUGUUAGCUAUGAUAUUGAUCCAAAUCCUAUCUAUACUGCUCCUAACAUUUUCCCACUCUUCUCUAUUUACAACAUCACCUCCUUUCAUUUAUACCCUUUCAUAAGUCUUGUAACUCCUUUUCCCUCUAAGUUCUUAUCCUUCCAAUUUCCCCUAGACAGUUGUCAGGUUUUUUCUCACACAUUAUCAUAUUACUGUCCUUACCCCAAAAAGUCAACGUCCCCCACACCUACGCUCAUAGAAUGAAGUUCAAACUCUUUAGCCUUGUGCAAAAGUUCCCCCCAGCCUGUGCCUUCACACAUUAGAACUCCCCAUGUCCUAUGCCCUGUCCUUUCCUUUUCCAUGUUCAUGCAAAUGAUGUUCCUUCAGGCUUCCCUGUCUCUGAAAACCAUACCCACAUGUCAUACCCUCCAUGAAGGUGUUCUCGAGUCGUCUGGUUGAAAUUGCUCUUUCCUCCAGUAUUUUCAUAGUCCUUUGUUAAUCUCUGCAUUUGAUUCUUAUGUUAUCACUAUGAUGUGUUACAGUAUUUGCACAUUAUAUGUCCAAGGACAAAUGUACAUUCACAAAAAGCAGGGCCAAUUGGAAAGUGACAGAUAUUCGCAUGUCUCUGUAUUGUAUAGGAGCACAAAAUCCACAUUCCUGUGAGGCUUGUCAAUUUUAAGCUUUUUCCAAUCAGAUUUUUUCAUGCCACCUUCGUGAGUCAGAAGUUCACAUCUCUUCCACUCUUUUCUAAGACUACUUUUGUUAACUGUAAAGACUUUGUUUUUAAGGCCAGUCUCUGCAAUUUCAUUAAUUAGUCUUAACAUUUAAGAGCAGGCUUGUGAGUAUAGGAUGGAAAGCAAGAAAAAGAAUCACUUUGUAGUGAAGAAAUCUGACAAACACUACCUCAACCAGGGUAUCAAGGAUAACAUCAACACUGAUGAGUCAUGUGGAUGGUAGGUUCCUUGAUGGGCUGUGAUGGGAAUGAUACUCUACUUCUGCAGUUUUCCUCCCCAAACAUUACCCCAGUCUAAUUAUAAGAAAACCAUCAAAUCAACCCCACCUGAGAGACAGUCUACAAAAUAUCUGACUAGUAAUCCUCAAAAUGGUCAAAGCCAUCAGAAAUAGGGGGAGACUGGGAAACUGUCACAACCAAGAGGAAACUAAAGGUACAUAAUAACUAAAUAUAAUAUGGUAAACUGGAUGCUAUCCUGAGACACAGAAAUGAUAUUAGGAAAGAAAAUGAGGACUUUUAAUAAAAAAUGAAUUUGAGUCAAUAAUCUUGUAUCAAUAUUGCUUUAUUAACUGUGACAAACAUACCAUACAAACAUAAGAUGUUAAUAAUAGGGGAAAUUGGCUGUGGGGGGUGGGGUGGGGAGUGGAAUAGGAACUCCCUUUACUACCUUUGAGAUAAUUCUGUGAAUCUAAAACUGUUAUAAAUUUUUAAAAUCAUUUAAAAAAUCAGACUUGCAGAAUUCAAUUUAACUGGCAGAAAUACGAUUUUGUUUUAAAACAGUGAAAUGCUUCCGCACAAGCAUUCAGAGACCUGCUGAAGUAACACAAUUGGUUGAAAACUUAUUUCUCUUUAUUAACUUGUACAAAGAAAUGAUUUUGUUUAGCCAAUGAGUAUUUUACAGUGGAAACACUGUGCUCAUGGAAAAAAAUCAAAAGAGAAUACGCUGCAAAACUAAAUUCAUUUGCUUAAAGGGAGUGUAAAAUGUGCUUCUUGCUUUUAAUGGGGAUAAUUAUUUUCAUUCUUUAAUAAUUAUUCCUCUUUCUAGUCAGCUCUUACUUGCCUCUUUAAUAGAACAUAGUGGCAAAGAGAGAGCUGAGAGCAGGGGCAAGGGAGAUGUUGGGAAGAAAGGUCUUUGCUGUCUGGCAGGUAAUGCUCAGAACACUGGGCAAGUUGAAAAUGAAGCCAUUCAUUGAGCAAUAUUUAUGGUUUGCCUACUAUACACCAGAAAAUGUGAGAGCUUCUAAAAUGAAUCAUUGACACAUGCUGCCCUCAAGCCUCUUAUCAUUGUUCAGGGUUGUAACACACACACACAUGAUUUGUUUAGGGUAAAUAAAUAAAUAAUAUAACUAUAUAAAUCAUGUAUGAAUAAUAAGUGCAAAUCUGUAUAUUAUAUAUAUAUAUACAUAUAUAUGUAUGUGUGUGUGUGUGUGUGUGUGUGUGUGUAUCCUCUAUAGCUAACUGUAUUUCUUUGCCUCCCACAGGCUCAUGUUCUAAUGCAUUUAAUAUGUGUCUUGCAUGUGUGUGUUCCUGCAAAAAUAUAUAAUAUUGUUUUUGGCAUAUAUUUUUAGUUUAGGUAAAUGGUGAGGUACCAUACAUCUUACCUCAUUUUCUUUACCUUUUUUACAGUAUGCACUAUGUUUUUCAUGCCCAUCCUUGUUGUCCUGUGAAUACAUAAUUUUGUAUGUAUACUCACUACGUAAUACACCAAGAAAGACAGACCUCCUCUGACAGUCCCCUUAUGGUGUCUGAUAAUCUUCUGCCAUCCACCACCCUCCUGAAGGAGCCUUCAUUUGGUUGGUGCAUUCCCUUGGGUCUAGGGUAUAAGUAUUCACUUACACAGACCUGAUUGUCUAGGAAAGUUUCCAAGGAAGGAUUCUGGCUCAUUUCAUUAGGAUGACUAUGCUGGCAGCUUAUUCAAAGCUGUAAUUAGUGAAACCCUAUAAAUGCUCUUUGCCUCCUGAGAAUAUGUCAUUUCAGAUUCCUUUUUUUUUUUUUAACCCUUGAACUCAGAAGACUACGUUAACUCCAUCUCUAAAGUCCCCCUAGGAUUUCUGAGGAUUAAUUGUGUUUCAGGAUAUGUACCUGCGGGAGAAUAGAAGGUGAGGGCCUGGGAGACAGGGACUAAAGACCUGGUCCUGACUGUGUCUAGUUGGGUGAGCUACUUUGAGCAGGAUCUAACCUCCUUCUGUGCUCAGCAUAGGUGCUGAAGUCACUCUUCCUGGGUUUGAUUCCCAGUUCUGCAACUUUCCAGUUGCAUAACAUUGGGCAAUUCUCACCUAGAAAAUGCGGUAGUUAAACCACAGAUAAUUUCUAGGGUAGAUCCCAAUUCAGCUACUGUUUCAUCCAUAGAUGCUUUCUUGGCUUUGUGCCCCUUUGGCAUCGUCCUUCUGUUUGUAAUGUCUUUCCCCCAACAUUCUCCUGUCCUUUCAAGGUUCUCCCCUAAUCCUUUUCUUUGGAUUUCAGAUUUUAAUAAAGAAAAGAAGCACAUUAGAGAUGGAAUCAAUAAAGGUCCUUUUCGACUAUAGGUUAUUACCAGAUACUGAAUAUAGUUCCUUGUGCUAUUCAGUAGGUGCUUGUUAUUUAUCUGUUUUACAUAUAGUAGUGUGUAUCCCAAAUUCCCAAUUUCUCCCUCCCCACCCUUUCCCUCUUUAGUAACAAUGUUUUUCUUCUGUCUGUGAAUCUGUUUUUGUUUUAUAAAUAAGUUCAUUUAUGUCAUAUUUUAGAUUCCACAUAUAAAAGAUAUCAUAUGGUAUUUGUCUUUGUCUGACUUCACUUAGUGUAAUAAUCUUUAGGUCUAUCCAUGUUGCUGCAAAUGGCAUUAUUUCAUUCUUUGUAAUGACUGAAUAAUCGUCCACUGUCACCUUGUGCUUUUAACUUGCAUUUCCCUAGUGGCUAAAGGUACUUAAAAAACUUUUCAUCAUGGUUAUUUGCUCUUUGUAUGUCUUCUUCAAGGGAAUGUCUAUUCAUGUGUUUUGCCCAUUUUUCUAGUUGGACUUUUUUGUUAUAGAUUUUUGAGAGUUCUUUAUAUAUUAUACAUAUUGGUCCUAUGCCAGUGUACACCUUUCCUUUCCAUUAGCUUUACAAGCUCUUUCAUAGAACAAGAGGUUUUUUUUUUUUUAAUUUUUGUGAGCUCUAAUUUAUCAAAAAAAAAUUUUAUGUAUGUGGUACUGGCAUCAAGUCUAAGAACGCUUUGUUUAGAUUUAAAUCCUGAAAACAUUCUUAAAAAAAAAAAAAACAAUUUGGGAAACCUCAUCUUGGCUCAGCGG